CCUACGGGGUGCAGCAGUGGGGAAUCUUGCACAAUGGGGGAAACCCUGAUGCAGCAACGCCGCGUGAGUGAAGAAGUAUUUCGGUAUGUAAAGCUCUAUCAUCAGGGAAGAAGGUGACGGUGCCUGGAAAGUAAACCCCGGCUAACUACGUGCCAGCAGCCGCGGGAAUACGUAGGGGGCAGGCGUUGUCCAGAUUUACUGGUUGUAAAGGGAGCGCAGACGGCAGUGAAAGUCUGGAGUGAAAGGCCGGGGCACAAACCAGGAAAUGCGUUGGAAACUGUACGGCUAGAGUACUGGAGGGGCAGGCGGAAUUCCUAGUGUAGCGGUGAAAUGCGUAGAUAUUAGGAGGAACACCAGUGGCGAAGGCGGCCUGCUGGAUAGUAACUGACGUUGAGGCUCGAAAGCGUGGGUAUCAAACAGGAUUAGAUACCCUUGUAGUC
rnacentral:rRNA from 1 species